rnacentral:lncRNA from 1 species
CAUGUUGGUUUAUCUAGUCCUGUUUUUCUGAAUUCCAAACACUUAGAGGAGGCUCAGUGGUUCCCAAAGGAGACCUCUACCGGAAGUCCAGUGAUGGACACCUGUUUUUUUGUCCCACACAGGUCCAUCAUGCCUAAAUACAAUCUCUAUGCCUUGUCCUGGGCAGGAGGAUGAGGCUUGGCUAUGUUCACUUUCAAGAAUCAAGAAGAGAGGACUGAAAGAGAAACAGCUGAAAAGAAGGAGCCAAAUAAAAAACAAGAUCCAGCUGGAGGAGUUCAGGCCCGAUAAGCAGGCUUGAAAAAGAGGUCAGGCCCCAGGAGCUGGGCUGGAGCAGCGAGAAGCGUUUUUUCCAAGGAAAGAUGACUGCCUGAGAGCUUUGGUAGGCAGCCUGAAAUUGCUCAUCAAGGAAAAAGACCAGACUCGGAUUUUAAAUGGCUUCUUCUGAAUGAAGCAAUUAAUGCUAAAAGGAACAUGUUGUCUCCUCAGCAUUUAUAAGGAUGGUUUAUGAAGAUGACCUGGGUAAAAAGACACCCAGAGAUUUCAUGCUGUUGAUCCACAGAAAGCCUGUUACCGUCCACUCCGUUGAGUCAGGCCUCAGAGUCUGGAUCAUCCCUUACAGAAGAUCCAUGAUAAUAUUUCUGAUAUACCUCCAAGAAAGAAGAACUCAACCAGAAGAUAACCAUUUUGACUGUCUUUAA